AUGCAGUCCUCUGCAUACUGAAGGUCAGUGAUGCCAAUUUUCAUGAUCUUAGAUUUUGUUUGGAGUUGUCGGAGACUGAGGCAUUGACCAUCCAUAUGAUACUCAAUCCCAAUUCCAUCAGGAAGGUGGUCAUGGAUGAGAAUCAGGAUCACGGCAAGUAAAUGGAGAAGAGUGUUGGAGCAGUGACACAGCCCUGCUUGACACUAGUGCGAAUGAUGAAUGGUUUGGUCUCUGAGACAUUGCACAGAGUGGUGGCAGUCAUCCCAUCAUGGAGUAGUCUGAUGAUGGAAAUGAAUUUCUGUGGACACCCAAACUUACACAGCACCUUCCAUAGGGCAUCACGAUUGAUAGUCAAAGGCCUUGGUUAGGUCGAUGAAUGCCAUGAACAGUUCCGGGUGUUGCUCUCUGCACAUCUGAAUCUGUCGUGCCACGAAAAUAAUGUCAUUUGUGCCUCGGGAUGGCCUGAAGCCACACUGUGAUUCAGGGAGGAGUUCCUCAGCAAGGGAGAGAAGGCAGUUUAGUAGGACCUUCCCUGCAACGGAGAGGAGGCAAUACCUCUGUAGUUCCCGCACAAAGAUUUGUCCCCUUUCUUGAAUAUUGUAACAAUGUUGGCGUUCUUAAAGUCAGGUGGAAUUUCUUUGCAGGUUCAGAUUUUGUCGAGAAGUUAGCAAAGUUUGUUCUGGAGUAUUGUUCCACCAGCCUUAAAAACCUCAGCUGGGAUGCCGCCUGGACUGGUGCCUUGUGAUUUUUUGUCAGGAUGAAUCUUUUAAAUACACAUAAAGUAGUCACCAUUGUAAUAUUUAAAAAAAAGACCAUAAUACAGAAAUAUCCCUUCUGCUUAGUAUAGGAAAUACCUAGGGAGUAACAGUAAUAUUUACUUGCCAAACAUCUGUAAAGAUUUUAAUAGCAGCUACUGUCAUUUUUCUUUUGCAGUAUAAAUAUAACUCAACUUUGUCGCAUACUCUCAUCCCUCUGCAGAGGCAUCAGUGUAAAUAAUCUUCCACUACUUGCUGUACUUAGGUGGUUUAGGGUCUCAUCAAUUCCUAUUCAGGUCAGGGAAAAGAUUCCCAUUGACUAGAAUGGGAAUUGGAUCAGGCCCUAGGAGCUGUGUUGAAAUUCAGUAGCUUCAGUUCACUAGUUGUUUCAUACGAAAACCUUUCUGUCAGUUUUACUUUCUAUGGGUUUGCACCUCCUGUGCCUAAAAAUUCAAUGCAAAAUUCAGUUGAGAUUACUAACUUUCAGCUGGCUUCUCAGGAAAAUCAGGUGGAUUUUUGGUAUGAAACCAAAAAUCUGCUCGAAUCACAAAUGUUUUGACAAAUCUAAGCUAAGUUUUGAGCUUGUAUCUGAACCCAGUAAGAGCAUGUUUUUACUUGGCUUGUGGUCUUGUUACAAACAUGUUGCACAGCUCUUGGGAUACUAAUACUACAUAGGCUAGAGAUAUGUCUAUGCUGCAUGUAAAUCCAGCUGUUGUGCUUGCAUGCAUGUGCACAGCAACUGAUUUUUACAAGUUGGAUGUGAGAAUAUCUACAAGAGGGACUGAAUUUCAUCUCAUCAGUAACAGUACUGAUGAGAUGCAGCAGUACUGAGCUAUCUGAUUCUUCAGUCUGCUUGCCUACUUUCAAAUAAUUGGUGACAACUUCCCAUUCUUGGAAGCUUUCAUGCUUCUGUUCUUUUUUUCCCUUCCCUCAGUUGUGUCUAAUAUUUGGAGAUGCCCCUUCCUUCACACAUGAAAAAUAUGGACUAAGGACGUAGUUACUGAAAUGGUAGCCCAUAUUCCUGUAUUGUCCUCUGCAAUACAGAAACCUAGUGUUCCCACUAUGCUUUAGUUUUAAAAUCUAUAAAGGUAAUUUCUGUCAUGUACCUUCUUUUCCAGCUUUCUUCAACCAGUGAUUCAUUGAAACGACAAACUCAGUUUUGAAGGUGGCCAGGAUAUUCUGGUGCGAUUUGGGAGACCCACAUUUUAACAGCAAAUCCUGACUUCAGUAAGAUGGCUUCAAAGAACCCAGAUCAGAAGGCAAAACAGAAUAAAGAGGUGUCUCUUCUGAACCACAAAGACUGAAUGAAGGGUCAAGCAGUCUCUUCAAGACAAUCUGCAGGUGGAUAACUUCCUGUAUCAUGACAGCAUGAAGUAACCCAGACUACGCAGCCUCAACGGAUACGAGCACAUUCCACAAGAAGUCAGGUUCUUAUGCCAUGCCCAUCAACACAAGAACAAGAGCCCAAUGGUCCAUCUGGUUGGGUAUCUUGUCUCUGACAGUGCCCAGUACAAGCUGCUUCGGAGGAAGAAACCUUAGGGAACUAAGCACCAAAAAAAGGUGAAUAGACAUCAUUUACUCAAACAUCUAAGAUUUUAGUACCCAGAUGCCCCAACUGAGAUCAUAGCCCCAUUGCACAAAAAGAUCAGAAAGGCUGCACCAUGCUUCAUUUGUAUUCAGAGCUUCAAAAUGGACUGAUAGAGCGUUAUUUGAGAAAUGAUCACGCCAUUUUCCAACCGGAAGUUACAUAGCGUAUUGAUCCAUCCACAAGUAAUAGGUCUGCUGCCAGCCCUGGAGCCAAGACACCACUGAGAACCUUUUCUUCUAAAAGUGGAAUCUUAUCCCUCACUGCUAAAUGACUCCGAAAAUGGUCCAGCAUAUUUUCUUGGAUUAGAUUCCACAUCC